AUUGAACGCUGGCGGCAGGCCUAACACAUGCAAGUCGGGCGAGCGGCGGACGGGUGAGUAAUGUAUGGGGACUGCCUGAUGGCGGGGGAUAACUACUGGAAACGGUAGCUAAUACCGCAUACCAUCAGAUAACCCAUAUGGGAUUAGCUUGUAGGUUAGGUAACGGAUCACCUAGGCGACGAUCCCUAGCUGGUCUGAGAGGAUGAUCAGCCACCAGGGGACUGGGAGACGGGCCAAAUCCCUCGGGGGGCGGAAGUGGGGAAGAUUGCAGAAGGGGAGCAAGCCUGAUGCGGCCAUGCCGCGGGGAUUAAGAAGGCCUUCGGGUUGGAAAGUACGUUCAGUCGUGAGGCGUUGCCGACAGAAGAAGCACCGGUUAACUCCAUGGCAGCAGGCGCGGUAAGAC
rnacentral:rRNA from 1 species